UGAGGAAUUUUGGACAAUGGGGGAAACCCUGAUCCAGCGACGCCGCGUGAAGGAUGAAGGUCUUCGGAUUGUAAACUUCUUUUGCUUGGGAAUAACCGCCUCGAGGAAACUCGGGGAAUGAAUGUACCAGGCGAAUAAGCCACGGCUAACUUCGUGCCAGCAGCCGCGGUAAUAAUC
rnacentral:rRNA from 1 species